AUUUAUAUAAUAUAAAAAGUAUAUUUGACUUCCAAUCAAAAAGUUUAAUAAUUUUAAUAUAAAUA
rnacentral:tRNA from 1 species